rnacentral:rRNA from 1 species
GACGAACGCUGGCGGCGUGCUUAACACAUGCAAGUCGAACGGAAAGGCCCUGCUUUUGUGGGGUGCUCGAGUGGCGAACGGGUGAGUAACACGUGAGUAACCUGCCCUUGACUUUGGGAUAACUUCAGGAAACUGGGGCUAAUACCGGAUAGGAUCUCCUGCUGCAUGGUGGGGGUUGGAAAGUUUCGGCGGUUGUGGAUGGACUCGCGGCUUAUCAGCUUGUUGGUGGGGUAGUGGCUUACCAAGGCUUUGACGGGUAGCCGGCCUGAGAGGGUGACCGGCCAAAUUGGGACUGAGAUACGGCGCAGACUCCAACGGGAGGCAGCAGUGGGGAAUAUUGCACAAUGGGCGGAAGCCUGAUGCAGCAACGCCGCGUGCGGGAUGACGGCCUUCGGGUUGUAAACCGAUUUCGCCUGUGACGAAGCGUGAGUGACGGUAAUGGGUAAAGAAGCACCGGCUAACUACGUG